rnacentral:rRNA from 1 species
AAUCAUGGCUCAAGAUGAACGCUAGCUACAGGCUUAACACAUGCAAGUCGAGGGGCAGCAUUUUAGUUUGCUUGCAAACUAAAGAUGGCGACCGGCGCACGGGUGAGUAACACGUAUCCAACCUGCCGAUAACUCAGGGAUAGCCUUUCGAAAGAAAGAUUAAUACCUGAUGGCAUAGGAUUAUCGCAUGAUAAUCCUAUUAAAGAAUUUCGGUUAUCGAUGGGGAUGCGUUCCAUUAGG